GAUGAACGCUGACAGAAUGCUUAACACAUGCAAGUCUACUUGAACUUCGGUUUGGGUGGCGGACGGGUGAGUAACGCGUAAAGAACUUGCCUCACAGAUAGGGACAACAUUUGGAAACGAAUGCUAAUACCUGAUAUUAUGAUUUUAGGGCAUCCUAGAAUUAUGAAAGCUAUAUGCACUGUGAGAGAGCUUUGCGUCCCAUUAGCUAGUUGGAGAGGUAACGGCUCACCAAGGCGAUGAUGGGUAGCCGGCCUGAGAGGGUGAUCGGCCACAAGGGGACUGAGACACGGCCCUUACUCCUACGGGAGGCAGCAGUGGGGAAUAUUGGACAAUGGACCAAGAGUCUGAUCCAGCAAUUCUGUGUGCACGAUGAAGUUUUUCGGAAUGUAAAGUGCUUUCAGUUGGGAAGAAAAAAAUGACGGUACCAACAGAAAAAGUGACGGCUAAAUACGUG
rnacentral:rRNA from 1 species